UUCCCAUGCUGGUUGUUCCCUGAGGAACUGCUGUUGAAAACACUAACUUCUGCUAUCCAUUUAUUACAAGCUUUGUCAAAUUCAUAAAAUGAAACAAUGAUUUGGUGAGACCAAACUUGGCCAACUCUAAGAAUCGCCGAGAAUUUUGGACCUGUUUGGUAAGGACAGAGAUGGAGGCUUCUUCACCAAUGCCCCUUACUUCCUUGAGACAACAUCGCACCCUCCAGUACCUGUCCACAAAUCAGAUCUGGGCUAUUACCUGAUCUAAGAGUGGUGACAACCUGUGCUGUUGGUGGGAUCUCAGAUGGUGAUGAGGAGGCAUUUACAGCGAGACAGAUCAACUGAUUGAGUGGAGUCACCAUAGCAGUCUUGUACUCAGCAUCAUGAACGUUUCCAGGAUCUGCUGACCUGCCAUUGCCCUGCAGUGCCCAAAACUCUGAUUCCAAUUCAAUGACUCUGAACCAACACUUCUGCAGAUGUGACUGUCCACAGCCUGGAUGUUCUCCUCAGAACUCAGGGUCCUUCAUUUGAGAGAUACAUCAUGGACAGGACCUUCUGGCCCAAGGAGCCACACCUCCCAGCUACGCCCAUUUAGCCCUCGCCUAAUUGCAGACAAUUUACAGUAACCAAAUAAUCUACUAUCUGGAGCAGCAUAUAUUGAGGACAAUUCCUGUCGGAUGGGGAACAGGUGACGUACCCAUUGUAAACUCCACAAAGCUGAACACAACCCUACUCUUUGGUGGUGGCUGAAGGCCAAGUGACGACUCCAGGACUCCAGAGGGAACUCUUCCUCAGAAUAGCCCCUAUCGCAGCUUUUGCCCAUCAGGGGCAGCAGGGAGAUCUUUACCUUAAAUCCUCACCUGGAAGAUGGCAUUCUCCACUGGGAUUCCAGCUGACACUGUCCAUGUGGCUGUGGGAAUGGGGUUUGAACCCACAAUGUUCUGGCUCACAGGCAGGGUGUAAUCUUUUCACACACAGCCAGAACUCCUGAUCCAGUUUGAAAGAAACAGUAUCAUUAUCUUUCUCACAAAAUUCACCAUGUUUUCAUAACUUUGGAAAAAGGAUCAACCCCAUUGCACAUAAAAGUUAAUACUUUUACACAGGGACUUUCAUGUUUACAUACGUAUGUAAGUGCGUGCGCCCACACACACACACUCACACUCACACACACAUUCACAUACACACACAUACAUAGUCACACACAGAGACGCACACACACACACUCACACUGACAUUUACACACUCAUACACAGAGACACACAUACACAAAGCUGCACACAGAUGUAAGAAAGCAGGGAGUAAUGAUUAGACAUAUAAAGGACAAGAACGGACUGUGCAGGGGAGUUAGCGGACUGGAAGGAAGGAAAGGUUUGUGUGUGGGAUCAGAUUUAUCCCAGGCAGACCUUGUGGCUGCUUUUUGUCUUGAGUCAGGCUGGAUGACACGGAAGACUGUGGGGCCGGUUGCUAAGCCUUGUGGCAGAUUUCCUUGACAGUGCGCAGAUGAGUUCACUGUAUUCUCAUGUCAGGCUGCACCAGAGGUCACCUCACUCCCUGCACUCCUCCGUAAGGCAGCUGCAUUGAGAUGUAAUAUCUGAGCAAUCAGCAUACGUCGAGAUUGAAGUCACAUCGCACACCCUUUCACUGAAGUGCUGCUGAAAGGCAGAUGGGCAGUGGAAAAUGUCUGGGAGGAAUUAAACUUUCCCUGACCAAAGUGUUUCCUUUAAGCAGGCAAAAAUAACACUGAAUUAUCCAAAUGUGUCUGUAUGUACGUUAAGGAUGAAGCACCGACCAAGGAACAGAUAAAGUCUGCUGGAUGGUUUGGAAGGGCAGUUUGCAACUGUACAAGGCACUGGUGACUCCACACUUAAUCUCACUACACUGUAUGUGUCUGUGAGGCACUUACAAAGUACAAAGUACCAAAAUGUUAUUAUCAGAGUACAUCUGUGUCACCAAAUACAAUCCUGAGAUUCAUUUUCCUGUGGCCAUACUCAGCAAAUCUAUAGAACAGUAACUAUAACAGGAUCAAUGAAAGAUCAACCAGAG